rnacentral:rRNA from 1 species
GAUGAACGCUGGCGGCGUGCUUAACACAUGCAAGUCGAACGGAAAGGCCCUGAUCUUGUGGGGUGCUCGAGUGGCGAACGGGUGAGUAACACGUGAGUAUCCUGCCCUUGACUUUGGGAUAACUUCAGGAAACUGGGGCUCAUACCGGAUAGGAGCUCCUGCUGCAUGGUGGGGGUUGGAAAGUUUCGGCGGUUGGGGAUGGACUCGCGGCUUAUCAGCUUGUUGGUGGGGUAGUGGCUUACCAAGGCUUUGACGGGUAGCCGGCCUGAGAGGGGGACCGGCCACAUUGGGACUGAGAGACGGACCAGACGCCUACGGGAGGCAGCAGUGGGGAAUAUGGCACAAUGGGCGGAAGCCUGAGGCAGCAACGCCGCGUGCGGGAUGACGUCCUUCGGGUGGUAAACCGCUGUCGCCUGUGACGAAGCGGGAGUGACGGUAAUUGGUAAAGAAGCACCGGCUAACUACGUG